rnacentral:rRNA from 1 species
UACGUAGGGGGCAAGCGUUGUCCGGAUUUAUUGGGCGUAAAGAGCGUGUAGGCGGUUUGGUAGGUCCGUUGUGAAAACUCGAGGCUCAACCUCGAGACGCCGAUGGAAACCAUCAGACUAGAGUCCGGAAGAGGAGAGUGGAAUUCCUGGUGUAGCGGUGAAAUGCGCAGAUAUCAGGAGGAACACCGGUGGCGAAGGCGGGUCUCUGGGCCGAAAUUGACGCUGAGGAGCGAAAGCGUGGGGAGCAAACAGG